UACGUAGGGUGCAAGCGUUGUCCGGAAUUAUUGGGCGUAAAGAGCUCGUAGGCGGUUUGUCGCGUCUGCUGUGAAAACUCGGGGCUUAACCCCGGGCCUGCAGUGGGUACGGGCAGACUAGAGUGCGGUAGGGGAGACUGGAAUUCCUGGUGUAGCGGUGAAAUGCGCAGAUAUCAGGAGGAACACCGGUGGCGAAGGCGGGUCUCUGGGCCAUUACUGACGCUGAGGAGCGAAAGCGUGGGGAGCGAACAGG
rnacentral:rRNA from 1 species